rnacentral:tRNA from 1 species
GGGUGUAUAGCUCAGUGGUUAGAGCACCGCGCUUAUAACGCGGGGGUCGAUGGUUCAAUCCCAUCUACACCUA